CCAUGAACUAAUAUGUAAAGGCAAGCUAUGCAGCAAAGAAUUCAUUAAAGGAUUCCUUGCUGCACUCCCACUUCAAGAACUGCAGUGUAACAUCGAAAAGGGAAUAGCUGACAAAGCUCCACUCCAUCGUCUCCUGCAAAUUGAGUUCCAAUACAUGACUCCAUGCCAUAAGCGCUCACCAAGCAUAGAAAUAAGGUCCUAAUGGAUCAACCCUGAAGUAGUAGUGGACAAUAACAAGCCUUGCAGUGAAAGAGGGCCAAAAGUUCACAAAAAUUAUGGUAUUUCAUCCAGUAAUAAUGUUCACCAUUACCCACCGUGUAAUACAAUUAUACAAAAACUUGUUUCUCAUACUGCCAUUAAGGCAUUAGUCAUGCAUUAUUCUUCUAACAUUUUAAAAGUUCUGUAACGAAACCAUUGUGACAAUGGUUUUUUGUUCUUCAUGCAAUCCACAGCUGAAACAAAACCAAAUAUUUUGUGGAGUUUCAAAUUCUUCUGUCCUCAAUAGAAAAAAUAGCAAAAUAAAUUUGAAAAGAGAAGACAACCAGCAUAUAUGCUACAGCUGCUUCAAGAUUCCUCAAGAAACAGGUGUCGGUGAAACUAGAGCAGCUUACAACAUAACUUUAAUUUCAGUGCAUAAGCUUUCCCAGGAGGCACGGGAUAAUCUAAUUAACUUCAAUCUUCAUGAAAAAAAAGGAGUAGAAUAAAGGGCUUUAAACUAAUUAGAAGUAUACUUAUCAAGUCGUCGCCUAGGCGACACUUAGGCGUCCAGUCGGUGCAUUUUGGGAAGGCGUCUAGGCGACUUGGUGAAGGGGAGAAAGUCGAGCUCUCAGAUGUCGAAGGUGACGACUUGGACAACUUUGUGGCGACUCGGACGACUAGAUUGCUAAGCAGUCGACUUGGACAGGGUUUGACCCGAAGCUUAACUCGAUUAAAAAAAAUAAGUUCGAUCAGUCUAAAACCUAAUCGAUCGAUCAGUCGCAAACUUACAAUAACCCAAUAACAAAGGGAGAAAGGGGAGAGAGGCAGAGAGCAAGAACAAGAGCAAAACAGCAGCAUGGAGGGGACUCACCGACGACGACUCCGGCAGCUCGCGACUUCGGCCUCCACUCCGGCAUGUUGCUUCUUCUUCUAUUCUUCUUCUCUCCUAACUUCUCUUCUUCGUCGUCUUCUUCGUCGUGACUUCAAACUCUGUUGGCUAGACUUCUUCGGACUCUGUUGGCUAGACUUUAAAAUUUUAGUAAUGUUAUACGUGCCUCUAGAUAAAGUGC
rnacentral:lncRNA from 1 species